ACUCAAAGGAAUUGACGGGGGCCCGCACAAGCGGUGGAUUAUGUGGUUUAAUUCGAAGCAACGCGCAAAACCUUACCUGGGUUUGAAAUCCUACGGAUCUGUCAGAGAUGAUGGAGUGCCCUUCGGGGAAUGUAGAGACAGGCGCUGCAUGGCUGUCGUCAGCUCGUGUUGUGAAAUGUUGGGUUAAGUCUCGCAACGAGCGCAACCCCUAUCCUUAGUUGCCAGCAUUAAGUUGGGCACUCUAGGGAGACUGCCUGGGUUAACCAGGAGGAAGGUGGGGAUGACGUCAAGUCCUCAUGGCCCUUAUGUCCAGGGCUACACACGUAAUACAAUGGCCAGCAUAGAGGGAAGCAAGCCCGCGAGGGGAAGCCAAUCUCAAAAAACUGGUCUCAGUCCGGAUUGGAGUCUGCAACUCGACUCCAUGAAGUUGGAAUCGCUAGUAAUCGCCGAUCAGCACGCGGCGGUGAAUACGUUCCCGGGCCUUGCACACACCGCCCGU
rnacentral:rRNA from 1 species